rnacentral:rRNA from 1 species
CCGGACCGGCGCACGGGUGAGUAACGCGUAUGCAACUUACCUAUCAGAGGGGGAUAACCCGGCGAAAGUCGGACUAAUACCGCAUGAAGCAGGGGCCCCGCAUGGGGAUAUUUGCUAAAGAUUCAUCGCUGAUAGAUAGGCAUGCGUUCCAUUAGGCAGUUGGCGGGGUAACGGCCCACCAAACCGACGAUGGAUAGGGGUUCUGAGAGGAAGGUCCCCCACAUUGGUACUGAGAUACGGACCAA